GAUGAACGCUAGCGGCAGGCCUAAUACAUGCAAGUCGGACGGGAUUUGGGAGCUUGCUCCUAAUGAGAGUGGCGCACGGGUGCGUAACACGUAUGUAACCUACCUUAAUCAGGGGGAUAGCCUCUCGAAAGAGAGAUUAACACCGCAUAACAUAUUUUUAUGGCAUCGUAGAAAUAUCAAAUAUUUAUAGGAUUAAGAUGGGCAUGCGGAACAUUAGCUAGUUGGUAAGGUAACGGCUUACCAAGGCUACGAUGUUUAGGGGAUCUGAGAGGAUGACCCCCCACACUGGUACUGAGACACGGACCAGACUCCUACGGGAGGCAGCAGUAAGGAAUAUUGGUCAAUGGGCGCAAGCCUGAACCAGCCAUGCCGCGUGCAGGAAGACGGCCCUAUGGGUUGUAAACUGCUUUUGUACCGGAAUAAACCCUUUUACGUGUAGAAGGCUGAAUGUACGGUAAGAAUAAGGAUCGGCUAACUCCGUGCCAGCAGCCGCGGUAAAAC
rnacentral:rRNA from 1 species